GACGAACGCUGGCGGCGUGCUUAACACAUGCAAGUCGAGCGGUAAGGCCCUUUCGGGGGUACACGAGCGGCGAACGGGUGAGUAACACGUGGGUGACCUGCCCUCAGCUCUGGGAUAAGCCUGGGAAACCGGGUCUAAUACUGGAUAUGACUCCAUGACGCAUGUUGUGGGGUGGAAAGCCUUGUGCGGCUGAGGAUGGGCCCGCGGCCUAUCAGCUUGUUGGUGGGGUGANGGCCUACCAAGGCGACGACGGGUAGCCGGCCUGAGAGGGCGACCGGCCACACUGGGACUGAGACACGGCCCAGACUCCUACGGGGGGCAGCAGUGGGGAAUCUUGCGCAAUGGGCGAAAGCCUGACGCAGCGACGCCGCGUGAGGGAUGAC
rnacentral:rRNA from 1 species